rnacentral:rRNA from 1 species
GAUGACCUUUAGCUACAGGCUUAACACAUGCAAGUCGAGGGGCAGCAUGGUCUUAUCUUGCUAAGGCCGAUGGCGACCGGCGCACGGGUGAGUAACACGUAUCCAACCUGCCGUCUACUCUUGGACAGCCUUCUGAAAGGAAGAUUAAUACAAGAUGGCAUCAUGAGUCCGCAUGUUCACAUGAUUAAAGGUAUUCCGGUAGACGAUGGGGAUGCGUUCCAUUAGAUAGUAGGCGGGGUAACGGCCCACCUAGUCUUCGAUGGAUAGGGGUUCUGAGAGGAAGGUCCCCCACAUUGGAACUGAGACACGGUCCAAACUCCUACGGGAGGCAGCAGUGAGGAAUAUUGGUCAAUGGGCGAGAGCCUGAACCAGCCAAGUAGCGUGAAGGAUGACUGCCCUAUGGGUUGUAAACUUCUUUUAUAAAGGAAUAAAGUCGGGUAUGGAUACCCGUUUGCAUGUACUUUAUGAAUAAGGAUCGGCUAACUCCGUGCCAGCAGCCGCGGUAAUACGGAGGAUUCGAGCGUUAUCCGGAUUUAUUGGGUUUAAAGGGAGCGUAGAUGGAUGUUUAAGUCAGUUGUGAAAGUUUGCGGCUCAACCGUAAAAUUGCAGUUGAUACUGGAUAUCUUGAGUGCAGUUGAGGCAGGCGGAAUUCGUGGUGUAGCGGUGAAAUGCUUAGAUAUCACGAAGAACUCCGAUUGCGAAGGCAGCCUGCUAAGUUGCAACUGACAUUGAGGCUCGAAAGUGUGGGUAUCAAACAGGAUUAGAUACCCUGGUAGUCCACACGGUAAACGAUGAAUACUCGCUGUUUGCGAUAUACGGCAAGCGGCCAAGCGAAAGCGUUAAGUAUUCCACCUGGGGAGUACGCCGGCAACGGUGAAACUCAAAGGAAUUGACGGGGGCCCGCACAAGCGGAGGAACAUGUGGUUUAAUUCGAUGAUACGCGAGGAACCUUACCCGGGCUUAAAUUGCAGAUGAAUUACGGUGAAAGCCGUAAGCCGCAAGGCAUCUGUGAAGGUGCUGCAUGGUUGUCGUCAGCUCGUGCCGUGAGGUGUCGGCUUAAGUGCCAUAACGAGCGCAACCCUUGUUGUCAGUUACUAACAGGUUCUGCUGAGGACUCUGACAAGACUGCCAUCGUAAGAUGUGAGGAAGGUGGGGAUGACGUCAAAUCAGCACGGCCCUUACGUCCGGGGCUACACACGUGUUACAAUGGGGGGUACAGAGGGCCGCUACCACGCGAGUGGAUGCCAAUCCCAAAAACCUCUCUCAGUUCGGACUGGAGUCUGCAACCCGACUCCACGAAGCUGGAUUCGCUAGUAAUCGCGCAUCAGCCACGGCGCGGUGAAUACGUUCCCGGGCCUUGCACA